rnacentral:rRNA from 1 species
GAUGAACGCUAGCGGCGGGCUUAAUACAUGCAAGUCGAGGGGUAGCAAUACACCGGCGCACGGGUGCGUAACGCGUAUGCAACCUACCUUUAUCUGGGGGAUAGCCCGGGGAAACCCGGAUUAAUACCGCAUAACAAAUUGAUUGGCAUCAAUUGAUUUUAAAAGAUUUAUCGGAUAGAGAUGGGCAUGCGUAAGAUUAGAUAGUUGGCGAGGUAACGGCUCACCAAGUCUACGAUCUUUAGGGGCUCUGAGAGGAGGAUCCCCCACACUGGCACUGAGAUACGGGCCAGACUCCUACGGGAGGCAGCAGUAGGGAAUAUUGGGCAAUGGGCGCAAGCCUGACCCAGCCACGCCGCGUGCAGGAAGACGGCCCUCUGGGUUGUAAACUGCUUUUGACUGGGAAGAAAAGACUCCUUGCGAGGAGAGUUGACGGUACCAGCAGAAUAAGCCACGGCUAACUACGUGCCAGCCGCCGCCGUAAGAC